AGCGGCGGCGGCAGGGUCAGCGGCAGACAGGGCGAGCAUUGUUUAGGGGGCGCCCUCUUGACCGCGAGCCUCGGCCACCCCCAUGUGACGAUCCGUGUCUAUAUAACCAGUGGCGAGCGGACGGCCAUGUGGUGUGAUCCUCUCUCUGCCUGUAUGAGCUGCCGCGCCAUGGGUGGGGGCCGUGAGCUCGAGCCGGAGCCCCCUUUGGAAUCCGCCAUGGGAGGAUCUCUCUCUCGACCUCUCCCUCCCGCGCGCUCUACGGGGGAAUGUGAGUGCCCAAGAGAAAGAGUGAAGCUGCCAGCAUGAUCUAACUCGUGUGGGGGCGCAAGCGAUGCCGUGGCAUGGCGUGGCGUGGCGAGGUCGCUGCGCUGAGGCUUUGUUUUGGGCGGUGGUGUUAGAUCAUGCUGUGACAGUUUCACUCUUUCCCUCUGGGCACGCCGAUGUCCAAGGUACCACUAAUGCCAGCAACAAGACCAGAAGGUAAUCAGGGAAGCUUUACUGAAUGCUGAUUGGUUAGCAGGAUAGAUGGCAACGUCCUAGACCGAGCCCUUUGACUCAAGGAGAAGAAACCAAGCUCAACGUGCUUAGGAUUGCAAUGGUUUUUGUUUGAUGUAUUGUUGACACUCGUUUUAUCGGCGAACCCUAUUAGGGUGGGGUCCGACCGCAUGUCUGACUGUACUAUCGGUAACUGCAACAAGGCCCUUAUUGGGCCGGAACCAACUGUACUGUCAACCAAAUCGAUGAUGUUGUUUU